GAUGAACGCUGGCGGCGUGCCUAAUACAUGCAAGUCGAACGCUGAAGGAGGAGCUUGCUCUUCUGGAUGAGUUGCGAACGGGUGAGUAACGCGUAGGUAACCUGCCUGGUAGCGGGGGAUAACUAUUGGAAACGAUAGCUAAUACCGCAUGACAACAGUUAUUGCAUGAUAACUGUUUAAAAGGGGCAACUGCUCCACUACCAGAUGGACCUGCGUUGUAUUAGCUAGUUGGUGAGGUAACGGCUCACCAAGGCGACGAUACAUAGCCGACCUGAGAGGGUGAUCGGCCACACUGGGACGGAGACACGGCCCAGACUCCUACGGGAGGCAGCAGUAGGGAAUCUUCGGCAAUGGACGGAAGUCUGACCGAGCAACGCCGCGUGAGUGAAGAAGGUUUUCGGAUCGUAAGGCUCUGUUGUAAGAGAAGAACGAGUGUGAGAGUGGAAAGUUCACACUGUGACGGUAUCUUACCAGAAAGGGACGGCUAACUACGUG
rnacentral:rRNA from 1 species